rnacentral:rRNA from 1 species
AGUUUGAUCCUGGCUCAGGAUGAACGCUAGCUACAGGCUUAACACAUGCAAGUCGAGGGGCAGCAUUGGAGUAGCAAUACUUCAGAUGGCGACCGGCGCACGGGUGAGUAACACGUAUCCAACCUGCCGCUUACUCGGGGAUAGCCUUUCGAAAGAAAGAUUAAUACCCGAUGGUAUAAAGAGUUCGCAUGUUCUCUUUAUUAAAGAAUUUCGGUAAGCGAUGGGGAUGCGUUCCAUUAGAUAGUUGGCGGGGUAACGGCCCACCAAGUCUACGAUGGAUAGGGGUUCUGAGAGGAAGGUCCCCCACAUUGGAACUGAGACACGGUCCAAAUCCUACGGGAGGCAGCAGUGAGGAAUAUUGGUCAAUGGACGAGAGUCUGAACCCAGCCAAGUAGCGUGAAGGAUGACUGCCCUAUGGGUUGUAAACUUCUUUUAUAAGGGAAUAAAGUGAGGGACGUGUCCCUUUUUGUAUGUACCUUAUGAAUAAGGAUCGGCUAACUCCGUGCCAGCAGCCGCGGUAAUACGGAGGAUCCAAGCGUUAUCCGGAUUUAUUGGGUUUAAAGGGAGCGUAGGUUGACAUAUAAGUCAGCUGUGAAAGUUUACGGCUCAACCGUGAAAUUGCAGUUGAUACUGUAUGUCUUGAGUGUACAAGAGGUGGGCGGAAUUCGUGGUGUAGCGGUGAAAUGCUUAGAUAUCACGAAGAACUCCAAUUGCGAAGGCAGCUCACUGGGGUACAACUGACACUGAGGCUCGAAAGUGUGGGUAUCAAACAGGAUUAGAUACCCUGGUAGUCCACACAGUAAACGAUGAAUACUCGCUGUUUGCGAUAUACAGUAAGCGGCCAAGCGAAAGCAUUAAGUAUUCCACCUGGGGAGUACGCCGGCAACGGUGAAACUCAAAGGAAUUGACGGGGGCCCGCACAAGCGGAGGAACAUGUGGUUUAAUUCGAUGAUACGCGAGGAACCUUACCCGGGCUUGAAUUGCAGAGGAACAUAGUUGAAAGAUUAUGGCCGCAAGGUCUCUGUGAAGGUGCUGCAUGGUUGUCGUCAGCUCGUGCCGUGAGGUGUCGGCUUAAGUGCCAUAACGAGCGCAACCCUUAUCAUUAGUUACUAACAGGUCAUGCUGAGGACUCUAGUGAGACUGNCGUCGUAA